ensembl:lncRNA
CUCUUCCCAGCCACUCUCCCCCGCAACUUUCCGCGCUUUGUUCUCCCGCUGGAAAUGAUUUACGGAAGCGUCUUGGACAGGGUCUCCGCCAGGCGGCAAGAGCCCAGCGCUGAGAUGUGUUACAUUCUCAUCUACCCAUCAAUUAUGGAUGGAAACAAAUAAGGAAGAGUCAAUUUUGCAUGAGCUCCUUCUCCGGCGGCCAGAGGCAUCCGCAGCCGGGAGGGAGCCGCCGCGCGCGUCGGCAGCCGCUGGCAGGGGGAUGGUGAGGAGAAGGGGGCCCAGAGUUUGAUCCUGGUCAGGGAACUAAAUCCUACACGCCACAACUAAUUGUUCGCGUGCUGCCGCUGGAAGAUCCUGCAUGCUGCAGCAAAGACUGAAGACGAUCCCACAUGGUGAAUCUAAGACCCUGCGCAGCCAAGUAAAUAAACUCUAAAAAAAUAAAACAAAUCUCAGAUCUUUCUAACCUCAAAGUCUAUGUUCUUUACCAACAUCUCAUCCUGCCUCAUGUCUUGCCUUCAUUCCACAUAAUUGGUUUGAUAAUCUCACUACCCCUGGAAACCUGAGAUUAAAUAUUUCCUUAAAUAAGGCGAGAACAAAGUAGUCUAAAUGGUUUACAUACAAAUAAAUCUUCUCCUUGGUCCAUUUUUCUCAGGUAUUUCCAAAUUCUUCCCUUCCCUACUCAGCUUUGCUUUGAUAUGUAUUUCACAUUAAAUAUUUCCAUUUAUAAUUUCUAUGGCAAAUCUGAAAGUAGUUUUUUAAAUACAGCUUUAUGCAGGGACAGGAAGUAAUUAGCAGUGGGGUUUUAUUUUUGGAAGAUGAGAUUGGUGGGGAAUGGGGUAUAGCGAGAAAUUGCUUUCUGCAGUGUCAGUUGAAUGAGUUAUAGGAAAUGAUGGCUCAGCCAGCAGCUUGGUGCUUGCCAGUGAGUCAGCAGUGAUUCCAUCCUCAUCUAAAUGCUGGAAUCACAGCUGUAAAAGACUCUCUUCCUGGUGAGUGCCCCUCCCCGCCUUGCUGUCUGGGGCAUGGAGGCUCUGCCCACAUGAUGGGAACUGUUCAGUUACCUGUCCCAGUGGACAAAGAUUGACAGAAUUAUUUUGUGUUCAGGCAAAUGUUUCUAUGUUUCUUUAGGAUUCAUUAGUGUUUCUCAUUUUCCCAUCUGAUACCCAGCAGAAACGUCCAGUGUGGUAUUGAUGUCCUAGCAGAACUUAAUUCCUAGGGUAACAUUUCAUAUUUUUAUAUGUCCUGGGUCUCUCUCUCUCUUUUUUUUUUUUUUUGGAGUAUAAUUGAUUUAUAGUGUUGUGUUAGUUUCAAAGUGAUUCAGUUAUACACACACACACACACACACACACACACAUAUAUUUCUUUUCAGAUUGUUUUCCUUAUAGGUUAUUACAAAAUAUUGAGUAUAAUUCCCUGUGCUAUAUAGUAAGUUCUUAUUGCUUAUCUAUUUUAUCUAUUUCAUAUAUAUUAGUGUGUGUAUGUUAAUCCCAAACUCUUAACUUAUC